AUACUAUUACUUCCGUCCCAAAAAACUUGCCUUAGAUUUAUCUAGAUACAUAUGUAUCUAACACUAAAACAUGUGUAGAUACAUUAGCACCUAGACAAAUCCAAGAUAAGCAUUUUGGGACAGAGGGAGUAUGUA
rfam:Triticum aestivum genome assembly, contig: Triticum_aestivum_CS42_TGACv1_scaffold_193757_3AL